rnacentral:lncRNA from 1 species
GGGGAAGUAAUUUUCACACCAGAUCUUCCUGAAUGAGGGAGCCCUCGCUUCAGAUAAGAGUCUGACUUUUGAGUUCUGGUCGUGUCCUGGUCUGGUGGUUCCAUGAGGAGGAGGAUCUUUGGUUCUGUGUUCAUUUCAGAUGUUUGACAAGUAUCCCAGAAUGAAAGAAUCUGUGUCUGGUCUCUCAGUCAGCAGCUGGGCCUGGAUUGGGCAGUGCCUGCAGGAAGGAGACACAACCAGCCUCCAGAGUUAGACAACAGCAAAGACAGUGAAGAAGGAGAUGGAUGGUUUUAUUUAUGGCAUAAAUUUACUAUGGAGAGCUCUUCGGAGAGAUGCUGCCUGUUGACGCCGAGGGAGACCACGAGGCGAUGGGACAUGCCAGGGACCAUGGAGAACAGAGGUGCUCUGAAAGCUUGCCUAUUGGUUCUUUUUUAUAUUUUUUUUUACUGACUUGCCCCUUAAAACUAGAGUUGUGUUUCUAAAAGAAACAGAAAGGUGUGAAGACAAGAAUAAAUAAUAAUUCUCUGACCAACUGAUGCUAAUAUAAGACUCCAAAUAAGCCAUAAAAAUGAGGAAAGUUCAUGAGUUUAUUGUAAAAUAAUGUACAUAGUGUACAGAGCCAU